rnacentral:rRNA from 1 species
UACGUAGGGUGCAAGCGUUGUCCGGAAUUAUUGGGGGUAAAGAGCUCGUAGGCGGUUUGUCGCGUCUGCUGUGAAAUCCCGAGGCUCAACCUCGGGCCUGCAGUGGGUACGGGCAGACUAGAGUGCGGUAGGGGAGAUUGGAACUCCUGGUGUAGCGGUGGAAUGCGCAGAUAUCAGGAAGAACACCGGUGGCGAAGGCGGGUCUCUGGGCCGAUAUUGACGCUGAGGAGCGAAAGCGUGGGGGGCAAACAGG